rnacentral:piRNA from 1 species
UCUUUAAUGGGUUUCUUUUAAUGGUGUA